rnacentral:rRNA from 1 species
GACGAACGCUGGCGGCGUGCUUUACACAUGCAAGUCGAACGGAAAGGCCCUGCUUUUGUGGGGUGCUCGAGUGGCGAACGGGUGAGUAACACGUGAGUAACCUGCCCUUGACUUUGGGAUAACUUCAGGAAACUGGGGCUAAUACCGGAUAGGAGCUCCUGCUGCAUGGUGGGGGAUGGAAAGUUUCGGCGGUUGGGGAUGGACUCGCGGCUUAUCAGCUUGUUGGUGGGGUAGUGGCUUACCAAGGCUUUGACGGGUAGCCGGCCUGAGAGGGUGACCGGCCACAUUGGGACUGAGAUACGGCCCAGACUCCUACGGGAGGCAGCAGUGGGGAAUAUUGCACAAUGGGCGGAAGCCUGAUGCAGCAACGCCGCGUGCGGGAUGACGGCCUUCGGGUUGUAAACCGCUUUCGCCUGUGACGAAGCGUGAGUGACGGUAAUGGGUAAAGAAGCACCGGCUAACUACGUG